CCAGGCUCUGAGCUGUCAGCACAGAGCCCGACGGGGGGCUCGAACUCACAAACUGUGAGAUCAUGACCUGAGCCGAAGCCGGACACUCAACCGACUGAGCCACCCAGGCGCCCCGUCACUAACUUGCUUUAAAGCGUGAUUGUAUUUUCACAAAUAUCUAAUGCUUCGUCCUCUUCAGCAGGGAGCUUGGCUCCCAUCAAAUGGAUAUGAAAAACUCACGACAACAAGCACUUCUUGUCAGAAGAAGACUCUGAGAUGAUGGUUUGAGUACAAGUUGAGUGCAAGAAGUGGCCCUAGGAAACUCCAUUCAGAGGAUGGAAAAGUGAAACAAAGAAGAUAGGCAGUAAAGCGUGUGCUAUUAAUAAACCGGCUACCAUACUGGGUGAUUAGAACCUAAUCCUGAUGAGGAACUCUGGCAACUAGUACACAAGAAACAUCUUGGAAUUAUCCCUACGGAGGGGUGAGGAAGCUGGGAUGUUAAUACUCCAUCUACUGAGAGUCCUGACUUGAGAAGCUGUUGCCAGCAUGGUAAUCUCCAGGUUCUUCUGGUCUACGAUGCCUGGGCAAGGCAGCCGUCUAGUUUUAGAAAAAAGUCCUCAGGAAUAAAGAUACAGAUAUGGACUGUUGGGAGUUGGUUGCAGCACAAUUAAAAGAGUAAAUAAAGUUCAAGAAAUGAGUGUGGGAUGCUGGUAGCUUCUGCUACAACGGGCAGUUUUUUGUUUGCAGACAAAAGGGUGCUCAGGAAUGGAAAAGCAUAGACUUUUUCUGUAAGAAGCACUUGCUAGUUUCCACUUGGAAUCUGUGCAGCUUCAAUAUAUGGACAAUUUCUCAGCAUCCUCAGUCCUGCAUAGUACCCUGAUCCGUGCCUGGGUGUAGGCCUCUUUUAUCUUGUCAGGCUUAUUGGGAGCUCCCUGAAAGCACGACCCAGUGCCCUGUCUCCUCUAGUUUCCUCACUGGAGAACCCAGCACAGGCCUGGCCAAACGAGAACUCACGUUCUAAUUGAAUUGAUGACCACAUAGGUGAAUACUGCUCUAUACAUGGACUCAAGAGAGAGAGAGAAAAGAAAAGCCAGUUGGAAUGAAAAGUCUUUGCAUAGCUCUUGCUUCUGCCUGCACUGCUGGGUCCCUUGAUGGUCAUGUGUCAGAUUCCUUGUUGUUCAUAUCUCAGCUGCAACGUCACCUCCCUGGGUCAUUCCUGACUCCAUUACUUAAAGUGGCCACCCAGACACUCUUUAGCACAUUACCUUGUUGUAAUUCUCUGCACAGCACUUCUUGCCAUGUGAAGCUUUCCUUGAUUGUUUAUAUUUUGUUGCCUGUCUCCCCCAGAAAUACAGGUUAUUUAUACCGUGUUGCCUUCUUUAUAUAAGAAUAAAGUUUCCAUGAGAGCAA